rnacentral:lncRNA from 1 species
CAAAAAAUGUAUAAGGAACACUACAAAAAAGGGGGCUCUAACAACCAAUCAAAUGUGGUUGCUAUAGGACACUAUCACCGUGGAGUGUCCAAAAUUUGUUGUAUCAAUAUUUUUUUUUUAAACCCAACUGCACGUAUUCAAAUCAACUUCAUCUUCAUCUUCAUCAUAUACAUUCUCCUCCACGGCUGCAGACUCCCUCGGCUGGUGGCUCUACAAUCUCAACUUUUCCAAAACUCAACCGUCGACGACAGAUUCCACAGUCACGCAUCCUCUAGUCGAUUUUCGUAAUCAUUGGUAAGUAAUUUAUUUUACCCAAAUACGCCAGCAACGAGAUGGCAUGCAGCUUCUGUUCAGUUAUUAAUUCGAGUUUUUGUUUUGUGAGAUUCAAAAAGGUAUUAAUUCGUUUUAUUAAUUUCAUUUUCUACGAGCUAUCAGUCAUAUUCUAUCAUGGCAUGCUGCUUCUGUUCUGUUAUGAAUUCGAUUUCUUGUUUUGGGUGAGAUUCAAAAAUCAAAAUGGGUACUAAUUCGUUAUUAAUUCCGUUUUCUACGAGUAUCAGACUAUCAGUCAUAUUCUAUGUCACCAAACUUGGAAGAUAUCUGAUUUAUUUGUGUAAAAUCAUGCUUUAAUCUAUUGGGUUUUUAUGUUAAUCUUUCUACGAAUACCAGACUAUCAGUCAUAUUCUAUGUGAAAUCAUGCCUCGAAACCGCUAGACGAGUUAUAUUUAAGUGAUCUUCUAGAACAUUUUUCACAUUGUUAUUUGAUUUCAUUUUCUUUGUUUUAUUUUUGAU